rnacentral:rRNA from 1 species
GACGAACGCUGGCGGCGUGCUUAACACAUGCAAGUCGAACGCUGAAGCCCAGCUUGCUGGGUGGAUGAGUGGCGAACGGGUGAGUAACACGUGAGUAACCUGCCCCCUUCUUUGGGAUAACGCCCGGAAACGGGUGCUAAUACUGGAUAUUCACUGGCCUUCGCAUGGGGGUUGGUGGAAAGGUUUUUUCUGGUGGGGGAUGGGCUCGCGGCCUAUCAGCUUGUUGGUGGGGUGAUGGCCUACCAAGGCUUUGACGGGUAGCCGGCCUGAGAGGGUGACCGGUCACAUUGGGACUGAGAUACGGCCCAGACUCCUACGGGAGGCAGCAGUGGGGAAUAUUGCACAAUGGGCGAAAGCCUGAUGCAGCGACGCCGCGUGAGGGAUGGAGGCCUUCGGGUUGUAAACCUCUUUCGCUCAUGGUCAAGCCGCAGCUUUGGGUUGUGGUGAGGGUAGUGGGUAAAGAAGCGCCGGCUAACUACGUGCCAGCAGCCGCGGUAAUACGUAGGGCGCGAGCGUUGUCCGGAAUUAUUGGGCGUAAAGGGCUUGUAGGCGGUUGGUCGCGUCUGCCGUGAAAUCCUCUGGCUUAACUGGGGGCGUGCGGUGGGUACGGGCUGACUUGAGUGCGGUAGGGGAGACUGGAACUCCUGGUGUAGCGGUGGAAUGCGCAGAUAUCAGGAAGAACACCGGUGGCGAAGGCGGGUCUCUGGGCCGUUACUGACGCUGAGGAGCGAAAGCGUGGGGAGCGAACAGG